AAUGAACGUUGGUGGCGUGGAUUAGGCAUGCAAGUCGAGCGAUGAAGCCUCUUCGGAGGUGGAUUAGCGGCAAACGGGGUAGUCAUACAUCGGUGACGUACCCCCAGGACCGGGAUAGCCACGGGAAACUGUGAUUAAUACCGGAUAAUCUCUUCGGUUUGAAGACCGUCGAGCAAAUAUUUUUUGCCUGGGGAGCGGCUGGUGCGGUACUAGUUAGUUGGUGGGGUAACGGCUCACCAAGACGAAGAUGCCCAGGGGGUGUGAGAGCAUGGCCCCCACCACCGGGACUGAGACACUGCCCGGACAUCUACGGAUGGCUGCAGUCGAGAAUCUUCCACAAUGGGCGAAAGCCUGAUGGAGCGACGCCACGUGCGGGACGAAGGCCCUUGGGUUGUAAACCGCUGUCAGAGGGGAUGAAAGCCUUAUGGUUUGACAGAGCCUCAGAGGAAGCGCGGGCUAAGUACG
rnacentral:rRNA from 1 species